rnacentral:rRNA from 1 species
GUGCGUAAUAGCUCACUGGUCGAGUGAUCCUGCGCCGAUGAUUUCCGGGGCUAAAACUUACUACAGAAGCUACGGCAUCAGUAAUGAAGGGUAGGGGAACUUCCCAUACAGGUUGCAGCAUGACCGUAAGGAAAAGUGGACAGUAUGGGAGUGAGAAUGUUGGCAUGAGUAGCGAGAUGUGGGUGAGAAUCACACAGGCCGUAAAACCAAGGUUUCCCGGGGAAGGUUCGUCCGCCCUGGGUUAGACGGGACCUAAGCUGAGGCCGAAAGGAGUAGGUGAUGGACACCAGGUUGAUAAUCCUGUCAUCCCGAUAACGGUGUGGGCAAAGGGAUGUGACAGUAGGAUCAGCUAAGCCAACAGUGGUUUCGGUUGGCCCAA